AGCGAACGCUGGCGGCAGGCUUAACACAUGCAAGUCGAGCGGGCACUUUCGGGUGUCAGCGGCGGACGGGUGAGUAACGCGUGGGAACGUGCCCUCUGGUUCGGAAUAACUCAGGGAAACUUGAGCUAAUACCGGAUACGCCCUUUUGGGGAAAGGCUUGCUGCCGGAGGAUCGGCCCGCGUCUGAUUAGCUAGUUGGUGAGGUAACGGCUCACCAAGGCGACGAUCAGUAGCUGGUCUGAGAGGAUGAUCAGCCACACUGGGACUGAGACACGGCCCAGACUCCUGCGGGAGGCAGCAGUGGGGAAUAUUGGACAAUGGGCGCAAGCCUGAUCCAGCCAUGCCGCGUGAGUGAUGAAGGCCUUAGGGUUGUAAAGCUCUUUUAUCCGGGACGAUAAUGACGGUACCGGAGGAAUAAGCCCCGGCUAACUUCGUG
rnacentral:rRNA from 1 species